rnacentral:rRNA from 1 species
AUGGAUGAAUAUUAUAAUAAUAUUGAAGUGUAUUAAAAUGAAAUUUUAAAUUCAUUUUGGUAGUUGUGUAAUUUGAAUAUAUUGGAGUAUAUAAGUUAUUAUAUAUUGAAUAAUCAAAUGAGCAGAUCUUGGUGGUAGUAACAUAAUAAUUUGUAUUUAUAGAGAUUAGGGUUGUCAUUAUGAUGACGUGAGACGGUGUUAUAAUAAAACGAAUAAUAUAAAUAUUUUAUUAUCUUAUUUAUUAAGUGGUGACACAAAUAUGGACUAUUAUUUACUUAAAUUAUAAUAUUAAUGAGUUAUAAUUUUUAUGAUGUGAUAGUUGUUAUAAGAUCAUCAUUUUAAUAAUAAUAUGUUAAAAAAGAAAUAAAUAAACCGUACCUAUACCGCAUCAGGUGUCUCUGUUUUAUAACAAAUAUAUUUUAAAAUAAUCUAAGUAAGGGAAUUCGGCAAAAUAGAUCUGUAACUUUGGGAUAAAGAUUGGCUCUAGCAUGCUAGAACUUUUUAUAUUAUGAGAGGAAUCUGACUGUUUAAUAAAAACAUAGCUUUAUGAUAAUGUAAAGUGAAUUCUGCCCAGUGUAUUUAUUAGUUAAAAUAAAAUAAGCAUAUAUAAACGGCGGGAGUAACUAUGACUCUCUUAAGGUAGCCAAAUGCCUCGUCAUUUAAUUGGUGACGCGCAUGAAUGGAGCAACGAGAUUCCUACUGUCCCUAUUUAGAGCUAUGUGAAGCAACGAGACAAGGGAACGGGCUUGUUAUUUAAUCAGCGGGGAAAGAAGACCCUGUUGAGCUUUACUCUAGUAUAUUUUAAUUUAUAUAUAUUAUAUUGUAGAGAGGUGGGAGAUGUAAUGUGAAACCACUAAUAUUAAUAUUAUAUAAAUUUAUUUUUAAUUAUAUGGGGAGUUUGGCUGGGGCGGUACAACUGUUAUAAAGAAACACAGUUGUCCUAAGAUACAAUUAAUUAGGAUAGAAACCUAAUGUUUAAUAUAAGGGUAUAAGUGUGUCUGAUGUAUAAAACAAUAGUUUUAUAUGAUGGGAAACCAUGGCCUAAAGAUCCUCCAAUAAUAAUUUUAUUUGAUUGGAGGUGACAGAAAAGUUACCACAGGGAUAACUGGCUUGUAGCAAAUGAGCGAUCAUAGCGACUUUGCUUUUUGAUUCUUCGAUGUCGUCUCUUCUGAUCAUCGUAGUGUAUAUGUUACGAAGUGUUGGAUUGUUCACCCGUUAAUGAGGAACGUGAGAUGGGUUUAGACCGUCGUGAGACAGGUUAGUUUUACCCUACUGUUAAUAUUAUUAAGAAAAGUUAUAUAGUACGAGAGGAACAAUAAGUGAUGACCACUGGUGUAGCGAUUAAUUAUUCAAUUAUGUUGCAAAACUACGUCAUGAAUAAUAAAUGCUGAAAGCCUCUUAAGCAUGAAGUUAAUCUUAAUGAUAAACAAUUGAGGAAAACUACCUCUUUGAAGAGUGGGACUGUAAGAAUGAAGGUGUAUACCGACAUUUUGAGGUUACCAUUUCGUUCUAUGUAAAAAUA